GGAAAGGCUCAGUGGCUGAGCAUCUGCUUUGCAUGCAGAAAGUCCUGGGUUCAAUGCGCAGCACCUCCA
rnacentral:tRNA from 1 species